rnacentral:sRNA from 1 species
AUGUCUGAAAGCUACAACCGUACGGUUGAGAACUUCAACAAGACGAUCCAGGACCGUGUGAAUCAGAUGAAGUAAUGAUAUGAGCAUGAAAGUGGGAUUUUAAGACCACGAUAUGCGAAUAGAGAGAAGGAUUGUGAGAGUGCGAAGCAUGGAACAAUCUACAGAUAU